rnacentral:tmRNA from 1 species
GGGGGCGACACGGUUUCGACGGAAGCUGUCGCGUCCCGAAGGCAUGCCGGGGUCCAACCGCCCGUAACUGGAUGGAAACUAGAACUGCCAAUAACAACUUGGCACUUGCUGCUUAAUUAAUUAAGCGCACGCUUCCCCGGGCUUCGCUCAUGGGCCCGGAUCGAGGCGUCACACAGUGAGCUGGCCCAAACCUUUCGGUCCGUAA